GGUUGUGGCUCAGUGGUAAGGCACUUGCAUUGCACGCAUGGGGCCCUGGGUUCAAUCCUCAGCACCA
rnacentral:tRNA from 1 species